rnacentral:lncRNA from 1 species
UUGAUGGCGGCCUUCCCAUUGCGUUCCCCACUCUGCCAGGAUGCUUCUACCAUGGGGUCACUGCUGCCCUUGGAGAAACCCUUCCUGAUCCACUUGAUCCCACCUGCUCCCUCUGCACCUGCCAGGAAGGUUCCAUGCAUUGCAAGAAGAAGCCAUGUUCCUCGGUUCUCUGCACGCACCCCUCUCCAGGACCCUGCUUCUGCCCUGUUUGCCAUAGCUGCCUCUCUCAAGGCCGAGAGUACCAGGAUGGUGAGGAGUUUGAGGGGCCCUUAGGCAGCUGUGAACAGUGUC